GGGCGGUGUCAAUCUCCCACUGCUUCCGCCUGCAGUAGUUCUGGCUGUGGCACGGAGGUGACGCAGAGCGCAGAGCAUGGUCAUAGGGGAAACCGUGAGGGCGCUCUACUUUCCUAGGCCCCGGCCAGGAUUUAAGCCCUAUACUGCAAUGAUUCUGCCACCGGAAAGGAGGUUGUGAGCUGGUGACCUGUCUCCUUUCACAAGUACCAAGUGAUAAGACAAGAGAAAAUGAACUCAGGCUGCACCAGAGAUAGAUAGUGUGGGACAAUGUCAGAUCUAGCUGGCACAAACCCUUCGGGAGGAAGCAAAGAAAAUUGAGGAAUCCAGGGAAAAGUAAAAUCUGCAUUGGAAGAAGAUGGAGCUGAUAAUGGAGGCAAUUCACAAAACCAGGAAAAUGCAGUCCAAGAAGACUAUGGAGGUGAGCCUGAUUAUGCCACAGUUGAUGGCUACAUCACU